rnacentral:rRNA from 1 species
GAUGAACGCUGGCGGCGUGCCUAAUACAUGCAAGUCGAACGAGAUUUUAUUAAUUGAUUACUUCGGUAUGAUUUUUCUAAAAUCGAGUGGCGGACGGGUGAGUAACACGUGGGUAACCUGCCCUUAAGUGGGGGAUAACAUUUGGAAACAGAUGCUAAUACCGCAUAAACCUCAGAAACACAUGUUUCUGAGUUGAAAGGCGGCUUUCGAGCUGUCGCUUUUGGAUGGCCCCGCGGCGUAUUAGCUAGUUGGUGAGGUAAAGGCUCACCAAGGCAGGGAUACGUAGCCGACCUGAGAGGGUGAUCGGCCACAUUGGGACUGAGACACGGACCAAACUCCUACGGGAGGCAGCAGUAGGGAAUCUUCCACAAUGGACGAAAGUCUGAUGGAGCAACGCCGCGUGAGUGAAGAAGGUUUUCGGAUCGUAAAACUCUGUUGUUGGAGAAGAACACGUUUGAGAGUAACUGUUCAGACGUUGACGGUAUCCAACCAGAAAGCCACGGCUAACUACGUGCCAGCCGCCGCAGUAACAC